rnacentral:rRNA from 1 species
GACGAACGCUGGCGGCGUGCUUAACACAUGCAAGUCGAACGGAAAGGCCCUGCUUUUGUGGGGUGCUCGAGUGGCGAACGGGUGAGUAACACGUGAGUAACCUGCCCUUGACUUUGGGAUAACUUCAGGAAACUGGGGCUAAUACCGGAUAGGAGCUCCUGCUGCAUGGAGGGGGUUGGAAAGUUUCGGCGGUUGGGGAUGGACUCGCGGCUUAUCAGCUUGUUGGUGGGGUAGUGGCUUACCAAGGCUUUGACGGGUAGCCGGCCUGAGAGGGUGACCGGCCACAUUGGGACUAAGAUACGGCCCAGUCUCCUACGGGAGGCAGCAGUGGGGAAUAUGGCACAAUGGGCGGAAGCCUGAUGCAGCAACGUCGCGUGCGGGAUGACGUCCUUCGGGUUGUAAACCGCUUUCGCCUGUGACGAAGCGUGAGUGACGGUAAUGGGUAAAGAAGCACCGGCUAACUACGUG